rnacentral:rRNA from 1 species
GGGGCCUCGAUGAGCUCUGGGUCACCUCCCACCCGUGUUUAUUUUACCUUGUUGCUUCGGCGGGCCCGCCUUAACUGGCCGCCGGGGGGCUUACGCCCCCGGGCCCGCGCCCGCCGAAGACACCCUCGAACUCUGUCUGAAGAUUGUAGUCUGAGUGAAAAUAUAAAUUAUUUAAAACUUUCAACAACGGAUCUCUUGGUUCCGGCAUCGAUGAAGAACGCAGCGAAAUGCGAUACGUAAUGUGAAUUGCAAAUUCAGUGAAUCAUCGAGUCUUUGAACGCACAUUGCGCCCCCUGGUAUUCCGGGGGGCAUGCCUGUCCGAGCGUCAUUGCUGCCCUCAAGCACGGCUUGUGUGUUGGGCCCCGUCCUCCGACCCCGGGGGACGGGCCCGAAAGGCAGCGGCGGCACCGCGUCCGGUCCUCGAGCGUAUGGGGCUUUGUCACCCGCUCUGUAGGCCCGGCCGGCGCUUGCCGAUCAACCCAAAUUUUUAUCCAGGUUGACCUCGGAUCAGGUAGGGAUACCCGCUGAACUUAAGCAUAUCAAUAAGCGGAGGAA